rnacentral:rRNA from 1 species
CCUACGGGGGGCAGCAGUGGGGAAUAUUGCACAAUGGGGGAAACCCUGAUGCAGCGACGCCGCGUGAGUGAAGACGGAACUCGUUAUGUAAAGCUCUAUCAGCAGGGAAGAAAAUGACGGUACCUGAGCAAGAAGCCCCGGCUAACUACGUGCCAGCAGCCGCGGCAAUACGUAGGGGGCAAGCGUUAUCCGGAUUUACUGGGUGUAAAGGGAGCGUAGACGGCAGUGCAAGUCUGGAGUGAAAGGCGGGGGCUCAACCCCCGGACUGCACUGGAAACUGUACGGCUGGAGUGCAGGAGAGGUAAGUGGAAUUCCUAGUGUAGCGGUGAAAUGCGUAGAUAUUAGGAGGAACACCAGUGGCGAAGGCGGCUUACUGGACUGUAACUGACGUUGAGGCUCGAAAGCGUGGGGAGCAAACAGGAUUAGAUACCCGUGUAGUC